GAUGAACGCUGGCGGCGUGCCUAGUACAUGCAACUCGAGCGAACGGACGAGAAGCUUGCUUCUCUGAUGUUAGCGGCGGACGGGUGAGUAACACGUGGAUAACCUACCUAUAAGACUGGGAUAACUUCGGGAAACCGUAGCUAAUACCGGAUAAUAUUUUGAACCGCAUGGUUCAAAAGUGAAAGACGGUCUUGCUGUCACUUAUAGAUGGAUCCGCGCUGCAUUAGCUAGUUGGUAAGGUAACGGCUUACCAAGGCAACGAUGCAUAGCCGACCUGAGAGGGUGAUCGGCCACACUGGAACUGAGACACGGUCCAGACUCCUACGGGAGGCAGCAGUAGGGAAUCUUCCGCAAAGGGCGAAAGCCUGACGGAGCAACGCCGCGUGAGUGAUGAAGGUCUUCGGAUCGUAAAACUCUGUUAUUAGGGAAGAACAUAUGUGUAAGUAACUGUGCACAUCUUGACGGUACCUAAUCAGAAAGCCACGGCUAACUACGUG
rnacentral:rRNA from 1 species